rnacentral:lncRNA from 1 species
GGGCGUGCGGCCGCCACCGCGGGUUGACCUGUCGGCCGGCCACCGCGGGUUGACCUGUCGGCCGGCGCCGCGCGGGGAAGCCUCUCGGGGUUUUUUUCCCCCCCUAAUGAUUAAUAAAGUGGUUUUCUCGCCUCACGGCGCGGCAAAGGGGAGCUGUGCGGGGAGGGAGCUGGGUUAAGGGAGCGAAGCGGCGCCGCGGCGGUGGUUGUCCCAACUUUGUGUGAGGGAGGGCAGGGCAGGGGGUGUCUCCGUGCCAGCAAGCAGCGCCUUCCUCGGCUCUACCUCGCUAAACAUGUACAGGAAAAGGGGAGAAAAAAAAUAACAAAUCCCCUUUUUGCCCGAAAGAGAGCAAAACUGCAGUUUGGAGCGUGUUCCUGUCGGAAUCGGCUGGGUGGUGGCUUUUUCUUUGCUUUCCCGGCUGACAGAAGCCCGGGAAGAGCACCUCCUGUCCCCGCGUUAUGUAAAUCCCCCGGGCGCACGGGCUCCGUGAGCAGCGCGCUUCGCUCGGCGGGCUGCUGGCACCGCGGAGCCGCUCAGCGCCGGGCAGCCGCCUGCCACGGCGAGGUCCCGUCCCCUGCCUUAUUUUCGUGUCUUUCUUUAUUUAUUUAUCUGGGAUCAAGAUCAGCCAAAAAAAAAUCCAUGAUAAAAAAAACCGUGUUCGCAUUAUAUUUAGUAGCAGAAGAAGCUUCGAUUUGUGGCGGAAAAAAAAAGGGAGAGCAAGACAGAAAAGUAGUCCUCUCCGGUGGUGACACUGUUUGAUCUGUGACUGUUUGGAAGGUGGAGGAGUGACUGACAUUUCCCAUCCGGUGUAUAUGUAUGUAUGGGGGCUUUACUCCUUUUUAUUAUUUGCUUUCUUGCUCUUAGACUAAGUGCUGGGAGGAGAAGGAGAGACUGGAUCGACCUCGUUUUUUGCACAAUGAACAAACUAUUAGCAACGCAAUAAAAAAACAAACAAACAAACAAAACCCCCACCACCAGCAGCCCACAAAUCCACGAGCCUGAACCAAGCCAGCCUGCGAGCGAGCGAGAAAGUUGCGCUUUGAGACUCUUUGAUCUCGGAGAAAGCCUGAGAGGGGGGGAGUGACUGAAUUUACCGUCUCAUCGCCGCCGCUUGCUCGGCUCUCCGCCGCCGAGAAGAAGGAGCAGCAGAAGAAGAAGUGAUUAAGGAAAGGAGGGGGAGAAGGGGAGAGAGGAACGGGAAAAAGAAAAGAAAAAAAAAAAAAAAAGAGGACGAGAGAAAGAUAAUGGAUUUGGGCUACAGAUCGAACUGAUCAACCCGUAUUUAUUUUGCACAUCUCCGCUGGCAUCUUCCCUGCUGCUGCUGCUGCUGCUGCUGCCGAGAGGACUGAAGAGCUUUGUCUUAUAAGGAACUUAAAAGAGAGAGAAAGAGAGAGAGUGAGUGCGGGUGCGAGANNNNNNNNNNAGCCUCCAUCCUCCCCGGCGCUGCCAACACGUUUAAAACUAGAAAGUUCAGCAGGGUGCAGCGCCCCGGGCCGGGCCGGGCCGAGCCGGGCCGGGCAGGGCCGGGGGGCGGCGGGGGGGGCGCCGGCGGAGUGCGCCAGACCCUGCCCGGGCUGGACCUGGCGCUCGCGAAACAAAAGUCAACAAAAUGGGACACGGCGAGGCAUCUGGCCAGUGCGCUUCGCUGGAAAACAGCAGCCUUUAAUGUCACGCUGAAGAGGCUUUUCUUUUCUUUCUCUCUCUCUUUUUUUUUUUUUUUUUU